AUUGAACGCUGGCGGCAGGCUUAACACAUGCAAGUCGAACGAGUGGCGGACGGGUGAGUACUGAAUGGGAAACUGGAUUAGGGAGGGGGAUAACUACGGGAAACUGUAGCUAAUACCGAGUACCAUAGGAGGGGCCCAAGUGGGAUUAGGUAGUUGGUGAGGUAAAGGCUCACCAAGGCGACGAGCUCUAGCUGGUCUGAGAGGAGGACCAGCCACACGGGGACUGAGACACGGCCCAGCCUCCUACGGGAGGCAGCAGUGGGGAAUAUGGUGCAAUGGGGGCAACCUGACGCAGCCAUGCCGCGUGAAUGAAGAAGGCCUUCGGGUUGUAAAGUUCUUUCGGUAGCGAGGCGUUAACUACAGAAGAAGCACCGGCUAACUCCGUGCCAGCAGCCGCGGUAAUUC
rnacentral:rRNA from 1 species